rnacentral:rRNA from 1 species
UACGGGGGGGGCAAGCGUUGUUCGGAAUUACUGGGCGUAAAGGGCUCGUAGGUGGCCAACUAAGUCAGACGUGAAAUCCCUCGGCUUAACCGGGGAACUGCGUCUGAUACUGGAUGGCUUGAGUUCGGGAGAGGGAUGCGGAAUUCCAGGUGUAGCGGUGAAAUGCGUAGAUAUCUGGAGGAACACCGGUGGCGAAGGCGGCAUCCUGGACGGUAACUGACGCUGAGACGCGAAAGCGUGGGGAUCAAACAGG